AUUGAACGCUGGCGGCAUGCCUUACACAUGCAAGUCGAGCGGCAGCGUGGGGGCAACCCUGGCGGCGAGCGGCGGACGGGUGAGUAAUACAUCGGAACGUGUCCUUUCGUGGGGGAUAACCAGUCGAAAGACUGGCUAAUACCGCAUGAGAUCUCACGAUGAAAGCGAGGGACCGCAAGGCCUCGCGCGAUUGGAGCGGCCGAUGUCGGAUUAGCUAGNGGCGGGGUAAAGCCCACCAAGGCUACGAUCCGUAGCUGGUUUGAGAGAACGACCAGCCACACUGGGACUGAGACACGGCCCAGACUCCUACGGGAGGCAGCAGUGGGGAAUUUUGGACAAUGGGGGCAACCCUGAUCCAGCCAUGCCGCGUGUGUGAAGAAGGCCU
rnacentral:rRNA from 1 species